GACGAACGCUGGCGGCGUGCCUAACACACGCAAGUCGAACGAGGUCCAUCCGGUGGCAACACUGGUGAAGACCGAGUGGCGAACGGGUGAGUAACACGUGAGCAACCUGCCUCGAAGACUGGGAUAACCCCGGGAAACCGGAGCUAAUACCGGAUACCCCCACCGGGUCACAUGGCCUGGUGAGGAAAUGGAUUCCGCUUUGAGAGGGGCUCGCGGCCUAUCAGCUUGAUGGUGGGGUAACGGCCCACCAUGGCACCGACGGGUAGCUGGUCUGAGAGGACGAUCAGCCACACUGGGACUGAGACACGGCCCAGACUCCUACGGGAGGCAGCAGUGGGGAAUCUUGCGCAAUGGGCGAAAGCCUGACGCAGCAACGCCGCGUGUGGGACGAAGGCCUUCUGGGUUGUAAACCACUUUCAGCAGGGACGAUUGUGACGGUACCUGCAGAAGAAGCCCCGGCCAACUACGUGCCAGCAGCCGCGGUAAUACGUAGGGGGCGAGCGUUGUCCGGA
rnacentral:rRNA from 1 species